rnacentral:rRNA from 1 species
CCUACGGGAGGCAGCAGUGGGGAAUAUUGCGCAAUGGGCGAAAGCCUGACGCAGCGACGCCGCGUGAGGGAUGAAGGUCUUCGGAUCGUAAACCUCUGUCAGCAGGGAAGAACGGUAACUGUGCUAAUCAGCAGUGACUUGACGGUAACUGCAAAGGAAGCACAGGCUAACUCAGUGCCAGCAGCCGCGGUAAUACGGAGGGUGCGAGCGUUAAUCGGAAUUACUGGGCGUAAAGGGCUCGUAGGCGGCAUGUCAAGUCAUGGGUGAAAUCCCAGGGCUCAACGUCGGAACUGCCUUUGAAACUGUGAAACUGGAGUGUAGGAGAGGAUAGCGGAAUUCCUGGUGUAGGGGUGAAAUCCGUAGAUAUUAGGAGGAACAUCAGUGGCGAAGGCGACUUUCUGGCAUAUAACUGACGUUGAGGAGCGAAAGCGUGGGUAGCAAACAGGAUUAGAUACCCUGGUAGUC